rnacentral:rRNA from 1 species
GAUGAACGCUAGCUACAGGCUUAACACAUGCAAGUCGAGGGGCAGCAUUUUAGUUUGCUUGCAAACUAAAGAUGGCGACCGGCGCACGGGUGAGUAACACGUAUCCAACCUGCCGAUAACUCGGGGAUAGCCUUUCGAAAGAAAGAUUAAUAUCCGAUAGUAUAUUAAAACCGCAUGGUUUUACUAUUAAAGAAUUUCGGUUAUCGAUGGGGAUGCGUUCCAUUAGUUUGUUGGCGGGGUAACGGCCCACCAAGACUACGAUGGAUAGGGGUUCUGAGAGGAAGGUCCCCCACAUUGGAACUGAGACACGGUCCAAACUCCUACGGGAGGCAGCAGUGAGGAAUAUUGGUCAAUGGACGAGAGUCUGAACCAGCCAAGUAGCGUGAAGGAUGACUGCCCUAUGGGUUGUAAACUUCUUUUAUAUGGGAAUAAAGUAUUCCACGUGUGGGAUUUUGUAUGUACCAUAUGAAUAAGGAUCGGCUAACUCCGUGCCAGCAGCCGCGGUAAUACGGAGGAUCCGAGCGUUAUCCGGAUUUAUUGGGUUUAAAGGGAGCGUAGAUGGAUUGUUAAGUCAGUUGUGAAAGUUUGCGGCUCAACCGUAAAAUUGCAGUUGAAACUGGCAGUCUUGAGUACAGUAGAGGUGGGCGGAAUUCGUGGUGUAGCGGUGAAAUGCUUAGAUAUCACGAAGAACUCCGAUUGCGAAGGCAGCUCACUAGACUGCAACUGACACUGAUGCUCGAAAGUGUGGGUAUCAAACAGGAUUAGAUACCCUGGUAGUCCACACAGUAAACGAUGAAUACUCGCUGUUUGCGAUAUACAGUAAGCGGCCAAGCGAAAGCAUUAAGUAUUCCACCUGGGGAGUACGCCGGCAACGGUGAAACUCAAAGGAAUUGACGGGGGCCCGCACAAGCGGAGGAACAUGUGGUUUAAUUCGAUGAUACGCGAGGAACCUUACCCGGGCUUAAAUUGCAUUUGAAUAAUCUGGAAACAGGUUAGCCGCAAGGCAAAUGUGAAGGUGCUGCAUGGUUGUCGUCAGCUCGUGCCGUGAGGUGUCGGCUUAAGUGCCAUAACGAGCGCAACCCUUAUCUUUAGUUACUAACAGGUCAUGCUGAGGACUCUAGAGAGACUGCCGUCGUAAGAUGUGAGGAAGGUGGGGAUGACGUCAAAUCAGCACGGCCCUUACGUCCGGGGCUACACACGUGUUACAAUGGGGGGUACAGAAGGCAGCUACCUGGCGACAGGAUGCUAAUCCCAAAAACCUCUCUCAGUUCGGAUCGAAGUCUGCAACCCGACUUCGUGAAGCUGGAUUCGCUAGUAAUCGCGCAUCAGCCAUGGCGCGGUGAAUACGUUCCCGGGCCUUGUACACACCGCCCGUCAAGCCAUGAAAGCCGGGGGUACCUGAAGUACGUAACCGCAAGGAGCGUCCUAGGGUAAAACUGGUAAU